CCUACGGGAGGCAGCAGUGAGGAAUAUUGGUCAAUGGACGAGAGUCUGAACCAGCCAAGUAGCGUGAAGGAUGACUGCCCUAUGGGUUGUAAACUUCUUUUAUAAAGGAAUAAAACGAGGCACGUGUGCCUUUUUGCAUGUACUUUAUGAAUAAGGAUCGGCUAACUCCGUGCCAGCAGCCGCGGUAAUACGGAGGAUCCGAGCGUUAUCCGGAUUUCUUGGGUUUAAAGGGAGCGUAGAUGGGUUGUUAAGUCAGUUGUGAAAGUUUGCGGCUCAACCGUAAAAUUGCAAUUGAUACUGGCAGUCUUGAGUACAGUUGAGGUAGGCGGAAUUCGUGGGGUAGCGGUGAAAUGCUUAGAUAGCACGAAGAACCCCGAUGGCGAAGGCAGCUUACUAAACUGUGACUGACAUUGAUGCUCGAAAGUGUGGGUAUCAAACAGGAGUAGAUACCCGGGUAGUC
rnacentral:rRNA from 1 species